UACAGAGGUCUCAAGCGUUGUUCGGAUUCAUUGGGCGUAAAGGGUGCGUAGGCGGCGCGGUAAGUCGGGUGUGAAAUUUCGAGGCUUAACUCCGAAACUGCAUUCGAUACUGCGGUGCUUGAGGACUGGAGAGGAGACUGGAAUUCAUGGUGUAGCAGUGAAAUGCGUAGAGAUCAUGAGGAAGACCAGUGGCGAAGGCGGGUCUCUGGACAGUUCCUGACGCUGAGGCACGAAGGUCAGGGGAGCAAACGGG
rnacentral:rRNA from 1 species